AAAAUGUGAAGACUAAGAAAGAGUCGAAAGAAAAGGAGAAUGAUGUAUGUCUGAUAGCUCACACAUCACUACGAGCAUCAUCUAGACAAGAUUGGUACUUUGACAGUAGAUGUUCAAGACACAUGACUGGAGUGGAAGGAUAUCUUGCCAACUUAAAAUCCUAUGCCACAAGUUAUGUAAGCUUUGGUGAUGGAGCUAAGGGAGA
rnacentral:lncRNA from 1 species